GAUUUCUGGAAUGAUUCUUGGUCAAAAUCUAUAUGGCCUCUGGAUUGGACUGCGGCCGAUCAGGCUGUUGGUGAGGUAAUGGCCCACCAAACCUAUAACCGGUACGGGCUCUGAGAGGAGAAGCCCGGAGAUGGGCACUGAGACAAGGGCCCAGGCCCUAUGGGGCGCAGCAGGCGCGAAACCUUUGCAAUAGGCGAAAGCCUGACAAGGUUACUCUGAGUGAUUUCCGCUAAGGGGAUCUUUUGACACCUCUAAAAAUGGUGUAGAAUAAGGGGUGGGCAAGUCUGGUGUCAGCCGCCGCGGUAAUACCAGCACCCCGAGUGGUCGGGACGAUUAUUGGGCCUAAAGCAUCCGUAGCCGGUUUUACAAGUCUUCCGUUAAAUCCAGCCGCUCAACGGAUGGGCUGCGGAGGAUACUGUAGAACUAGGAGGCGGGAGAGGCAAGCGGUACUUAGUGGGUAGGGGUAAAAUCCCCUGAUCCAUUGAAGA
rnacentral:rRNA from 1 species